AACUACGUUUUCCUUCGAGCUUCGGUACCUAACGGCGCGAGCGGCGAGCUCCGUCCACGGACCUGAAGCCAUCGGGUUUAGCCGGAAACGGCGGGGCCUUCCGUGUUCGAAAAGGAGGAAACGCCAUGCGUGG
rnacentral:ncRNA from 2 species